rnacentral:rRNA from 1 species
UACGGAGGGAGCUAGCGUUGUUCGGAAUUACUGGGCGUAAAGCGCACGUAGGCGGCUUUUUAAGUCAGGGGUGAAAUCCCGGGGCCUCAACCCCGGAACUGCCCUUGAAACUGGAGAGCUAGAAUCUUGGAGAGGCGAGUGGAAUUCCGAGUGUAGAGGUGAAAUUCGUAGAUAUUCGGAAGAACACCAGUGGCGAAGGCGACUCACUGGACAAGUAUUGACGCUGAGGUGCGAAAGCGUGGGGAGCAAACAGG